rfam:Mesocricetus auratus contig210530, whole genome shotgun sequence.
AGAAAGGCUUUUCUAAAAGCCAUCCAUGGCCCCAGGAGCUUCAAU